GCAGGCGCGUAAAUUACCCACUCCCAGUUCGGGGAGGUAGUGACGAAAAAUAACAAUACAGGACUCAUAUCCGAGGCCCUGUAAUUGGAAUGAGUACACUUUAAAUCCUUUAACAAGGACCUAUUGGAGGGCAAGUCUGGUGCCAGCAGCCGCGGUAAUUCCAGCUCCAAUAGCGUAUAUUAAAGUUGUUGCGGUUAAAACGUUCGUAGUUGAACUUGUGCUUCAUACGGGUAGUAUAACUAUAAUUGUGGAUUGUACAUUACCUUAUGUAUGUAAGCGUAUUACCGGUGGAGUUCUAAUAUAUAAUAAUACUUGUAUUUUUAUGUAUACCUCCUAUUUAAACCUACUUCAGUGCUCUUCAUCGAG
rnacentral:rRNA from 1 species